rnacentral:rRNA from 1 species
CAAUAUUCUUUAACACAAUCGCACGAAAGCGAGAUGAGCGCACGCCGAGUGCGCAUACAAGGAACACCUCUUUUCUGCUGCAAAAUAGUUGGGGAAAAAGAAACGGGCAAGACCGGUGCCAGCCGCCGCGGUAAUACCGGCGGCUCGGGGGGGGGCCAUAAACUUGGGCUUAAAGCGUCCGUAGUUGGUUUGUUAAGUCUCUUGGGAAAUCCGCCGGCUCAACCGACGGGGGUUUAAAAAAUAUUUUUUUCCUAGGGACGGGGGGAGGUGAAAGGUACUCCGGGGGUAGGAGUGAAAUCUUGUAUUCCCCGGGGGCCCACCGAUGGGGGAGGUUUCUCACCUGAACGGUUCCGACAAUGAGGAACGAAAGCUGUGGAAGCAAACCGAAUUAGAUACCCGGGUGGUCCCACCCGUAAACUUUGCGGGUUAGGUGUACUGGGGACACCAAGUCAUUGGGGGGCCGAGGGAAAACCGGGAAACUUGCCGCUGGGAAAGUACGGCCGCAAGGUUAAAUUUAAAGGAAUUGGGGGGGGGAAAGGGCAAAUUCUUUUAAACCUGCGGAACUAGUCCCUUUAGGGAGGGUUUAUCUGAAGCUUGCGUUAUUCUUGGCCUAACUUGUUCCCUG